CAGGGAGACAACAAAAUGUUUAAUAUUAUUAUUUUGUCACCUUAGGUCGAUCGGUACCUCACGUUCUUAAUUAAUUAAGAAUUUCAAUUUCUAAGUUUUUCUAGGUCACACCCAUUAUUUUCCUGGGCCAUUAGCUCAGGUGGUUAGAGCGCACCCCUGAUAAGGGUGAGGUCCCUGGUUCAAGUCCAGGAUGGCCCAUAUCUCUAUGUUGGGGGUAUAGCUCAGUUGGUAGAGCGCCUGCUUUGCAAGCAGGAUGUCAGCGGUUCGAGUCCGCUUACCUCCACUGAUUACCACCUCUUCCAUAACCGGUAGUAAAGGAAAUGUUUUGAGUUGUGAUCAAAUUCUGAAAGAAUCUAGCUUCCUAAUGAAAUCCAUUAAGAUGCUGGACUCAUUGAAUUAAUUUCAUUGUUUUCAGAGAACCUUGACAACUGCAUAGAUUAUUUUUAAAGACAAUAAGCAUCUUUAAUGAUGCAGAUUUAUUAUUUUUGCGAAUGCAUUAAUAACAAUUCUAUUAAGCUGAUGCUUCAAUUUUUGAAGUUAUU
rnacentral:tRNA from 1 species